AUAUUUAAGUGGUGCUUCAGGGAAAAGGCCUUGGCAUCCGAAAUGACUUUAGAAAUGGUUAAGCUUCUAUGGGUGUAUUUGCUACAAUAAUCCAUUGAAACAACAGUAAUCUAAAAAUAGCUUUGUUUUCUGUCCUAAGCUCCUUUUAACUUCGUUAGUCAUCACCAAUUCUUAAAAUAAAAUCCGUGUAACAGUCUCUCCUAGUAGCAGCUAUAAACAAACUUCAAGAAGCAGGGAGAAGGAGGAGGAGGAGAGGAAAAAGGGAAGAGGAGGGAGCAGUGGUCCUGGGAAGAGGAGAAAGAAUACUCUUCUCGGAAUGGCAGUGAAAGGCCCAGGCGGAGGCCCAGGCUUGGUGCAAAGGCAGGAUCGUCUGUAAGUGAGGCCUGUACACUGGACUGGAAACCAGGCGGUCAAGGUUAGCUGGCUGUGGAGCUUGAAGCGCCGCCGCUGCUGCUGCCGCCGCCGCUGCCGCUGCCGCUGCUGCUGCUGCUGCCGCCGCUGCCGCCGACUUCGAAAACUCCCUCUGACUUGGACCUAUGCCACCGUGGUCCCGGCAACGGCAUUAAACAGAAGGAAACAGACUGGGGAUUCCGUCAUUUCAAGAGGAGGAGAGAGAGGGAGAAAGGAAAGCAUUGAGAGCAGACAGGAAAAGAAAGUUUUUUUUUUUUUUUUUUUUGAAAAAUUAUUAUUUAUUAAUUUUUUUAACACCAAAAACAAUAAAAACCUCAACAAAGCAGCUCUCACCCUUCCAAUAUCUGCUUACCCUCUAGCCUCUUCUAACAACAGAAGGGUGGGCAAACUGUGGGAGUUGAACAGAGAGGAGAGAGAACGGGAAGGAAGAUGGAAACUCUCCAUACAAUGUCAUUCAAACCAUUCUCUACUGUCACUAAGACUUACUGACAAACAGCAGAAAAUCCCUGUGGAUUUAAUGUUUAGGGGAGGGUGGUUAAGGUUUUGCUGUCCUGCUGCCCCCUAGCGGCUUAUUCCAUUUGGCCACCUUACGGAUUUGCCUGCCUCCUGGUAGCAUUAAAUCUUUCCAUUGGCUGUUCUGCCAAAGAUGAAGUGUACAAACUGCUCUUCAUUAGAGAGGAGGAUGAUAUUUACAUCUGAUAUGAAUUGAUUAUAUUUAUUAAGUUUUAAAUUGUAUGACGCAUUCCAUAAACAAAAAUAAAAUCAAUAUAGAUGAAC